rnacentral:sRNA from 1 species
UUCUGCCCAAGCGGAGAAGGAUGAGAAGCUUCGACUAAGGUUCGACUCGAGCGCCAGCGAGAGAGCGUUGCCGCAGGCAACGACCUGAAGGGCGAAGCGCGCAGCGCUGAGUAAUCCUUCCCCCACCACCA